rnacentral:lncRNA from 1 species
AAAAAAAUGAGAAAAAAGCAUGCACAAAAUUAAGAUGAAGAUAUGAUGAUCUUAAGACACCUAAUUAGGUGUCCUAAAGUUAGGACUAAAAAUGUGAUAUAUCCUAAGUUAAGAGAGCUUCGAGAACACGACUAAGGACAAAGAUUUGUCAUAAGAAUCUUAGAUGGUCUUUAGACACGUCCUAAUCCUAAGAUAGCUUCGAGAACACCACCC